GGCAGUGAAGCAUAGUGCUAAGGAGCUCGGCUCGUAACCGAAAGGUUGUUGGUUCGAUUCCCCGCUGUGG